CAAAUCCGCCUUUGCUGCUAACUCUCUGUGUUGCCGUAGGCAAACCAUUUAAUGCUCUGUGCCUUAAAGUUUACCCAGCUGAAAAAUGAGGUGGGCUAAUUAGAGCUUUUUUUUCCCCAGAAUUAAUUCUUGUCAUCCAAAAGGUGGUCUUGGUAGUUAAGACACAGAAGGCAUAGCUUGAAGGGCACAUUAAAGAUUGUACUAGCCCCAUGGCUUCCUGGAGUCCACAAAUGAAGGAAAUGGGUUAAAGUGGGUACUUAAGUGUCAAAACAUGGUGGUGUGAAAACGGUGGUUAUCGGACUUGAAUGGUUCUCUUUCUUAUUUUCAACCAUCGGUCCGAACUGAGACUCUACAGACUGGACUGCCACAUCAUAAAGGUCAAGUUCCACAGCUCCUGAUCGAGGUUGAAUUAUGAGCUUUCUUCUUGACUCCAGGGAGUGCUCCAUGUGAUGACCCAAAUCACCACCACCACCAUCUUCAGGUGCCAUCUUACACAGCCAUUUGAGAAGAAUAAUAAGAAGCAAACAACUCUGCCAUGCUGUCAGCUAUUACCACCCUUCUCUCCAUGACUGACCAUCUGAUGGGUACUACAGAUUGAAUUAUCUUGCUUGGUGCGCCUCAAUGUGGGGUGUGGAAGCAGAGGGGAAGGAACCAUUUCUUUCAUUAAACAUAUUUGCACUUGGAUUUGGAUGCUCCAUUUUACAUGUGAACCCUUGAAGGCCUCCUCUCUCUCAUAAUCUUCGGGGGUCUUCACCUUGAUGGGGUUAGGCUCCCCCUAGAAUUUUAGGCUGGGCACUAAUAAGAUGCAGCUGCCAAAUGAAGAAAUGUUUCCUGUGGUUUGCUAUGAAAAUUCCCCCUCCAUGAUUUGUCCUUGUGGACUGGGAUCUGAGGAUUUUUGUAUAGGGCUU